ACUCAGCUGCAUCUCGAGAAUCAGCAGAACAGCCAACUGGGGCAUUACAAAAAAACAAAAAAACAAAAAAAACAAAGAAAAAGAAAAGAAAGAGGAGGGUGCAAAAUCAAAAGAAAUCAAAAGAAAAGAAAUCAAAAGAAAGAAAAAGAAAGAAAGAAACAAAAGAAAAAUAGCACCCUCAAGUCCCAAGUUGACUGAUG
rnacentral:lncRNA from 1 species